rnacentral:rRNA from 1 species
UACAGAGGUCUCAAGCGUUGUUCGGAUUCAUUGGGCGUAAAGCGCGUGUAGGCGGCUUGGCAAGUCAGUUGUGAAAGCCCGGGGCCCAACCCCGGAACUGCAUCUGAAACUGCCUGGCUCGAGUCCCGGAGAGGAAGGCAGAAUUCCCGGUGUAGGGGUGAAAUCCGUAGAUAUCGGGAGGAAUACCAGCGGCGAAGGCGGCCUUCUGGACGGUGACUGACGCUGAGACGCGAAAGCGUGGGGAGCAAACAGG